AGUGAACGCUGGCGGUAGGCCUAACACAUGCAAGUCGAACGGCAGCACAGUAAGAGCUUGCUCUUACGGGUGGCGAGUGGCGGACGGGUGAGGAAUACAUCGGAAUCUACUUUUUCGUGGGGGAUAACGUAGGGAAACUUACGCUAAUACCGCAUACGACCUACGGGUGAAAGCAGGGGAUCUUCGGACCUUGCGCGAUUGAAUGAGCCGAUGUCGGAUUAGCUAGUUGGCGGGGUAAAGGCCCACCAAGGCGACGAUCCGUAGCUGGUCUGAGAGGAUGAUCAGCCACACUGGAACUGAGACACGGUCCAGACUCCUACGGGAGGCAGCAGUGGGGAAUAUUGGACAAUGGGCGAAAGCCUGAUCAAGCCAUACCGCGUGGGUGAAGAAGGCCUUCGGGUUGUAAAGCCCUUUUGUUGGGAAAGAAAAGCAGCAGGUUAAUACCCCGCUGUUCUGACGGUACCCAAAGAAUAAGCACCGGCUAACUUCGUG
rnacentral:rRNA from 1 species